AUAGUACUCCCUCUGUUCGGAAUUACUUGUCAUCAAAAUGAAUGUAUCUAGAACUAAAAUACAUCUAGAUACAUCCAUUUUAAUGACAAGUAUUUCCGAACGGAGGAAGUAUCUG
rnacentral:pre_miRNA from 1 species